rnacentral:rRNA from 1 species
GACGAACCGUGCGAACGUUGUUCGGAAUCACUGGGCUUAAAGGGCGCGUAGGCGGCUUGUCAAGUCAGGGGUGAAAUCUUUCGGCUCAACCGGAAAAGUGCCUUUGAUACUGACAGGCUCGAGGGAGGUAGGGGUAUGUGGAACUUCUGGUGGAGCGGUGAAAUGCGUUGAUAUCAGAAGGAACGCCGGUGGCGAAAGCGACGUACUGGACCUCUUCUGACGCUGAGGCGCGAAAGCUAGGGGAGCAAACGGG